GACGAACCGUCCAAACGUUAUUCGGAAUCACUGGGCUUACAGAGUUCGUAGGCGGUCUGGAAAGUUGGGUGUGAAAUCCCUCAGCUCAACCGAGGAACUGCGCUCAAAACUACCCGACUCGAGGGAGAUAGAGGAAAGCGGAACUGAUGGUGGAGCGGUGAAAUGCGUUGAUAUCAUCAGGAACACCGGUGGCGAAGGCGGCUUUCUGGGUCUUACCUGACGCUGAGGAACGAAAGCUAGGGGAGCGAACGGG
rnacentral:rRNA from 1 species